rnacentral:lncRNA from 1 species
UCCGUCAUCUGUGAAACCCAAGGACAGCCCCUGUGCAAGGAGAGGUCACAGAAUCGCUCCCUUUGGACGACCCCAAGGCCCCCGGCCUCCCACGCUGCCACUGUAUCUUUAAGGCCCAGGUGACAGGCACUUGCCACCCUCCCCUUGAACAAGGAGAGCUCCGACUGGGCUGGCAGCGUGGCCAACAUCAAGCACUGGCCAGGACUGAAUGUCAUCUUGUUUUCAUUGUAUCUGUCUUAUGGCCACUGUCUGCAGUGACACUGACUUUCUCUUCAGGGGAGGGAGGGAGGGCUUCUUCUGAAAAUAAAUGUGCUUAAAAACAAAGCGAGCCUUUUGAAGGAGAUUGGUGGGUGCAUAGUGCACAGAUGGGAGAGGCUGGGGCCAAAGAGUGACCCGGCUGUGGGAAGGAUGGAGGGGAGGGCCCCCAAUCCAGCCCAGGGACACUGGGCAGGGCUUCCUGGCCGACAAGUGUGAGAGCAGAGUCAUGAAGAAGCAGAAGGGAUUUGGCAGGCAGAAAGGAGGGCAUGACUGGUAGGGGAAGAGCCCGUGCACAGGCCCAGGGUGGACUGGGGGCUCAGUGCGGGGGGCGGGAGCAUUUGCGGGAUUUCAAGCCAAGGGUGUGAUUUGCACGUUAGAAGGGAGGCCUGGACAAAACCCAGAGGCCGGCAGCCCAGAAAGGCCACAGUUAUUGACAUGAGAGGGGAGGGUGCAGCUGUGGGCCACGAGUGGGAAGGGACCCGGUCCGUGGUCACGUGACAGAUGGACGCCGUCGCAGGACGAGAGGAGGGGCCGAGCGGCAGGGCUGUGUGAGGAGGGCUCUGGGACAACUCCCAGAUUGCUGUCCCCAAAGACUGGGUGGAAGGUGGGACCUUGGCCAAGAAGCCUGGGGAGGAAGAGUGCACGCUCGGGGCAGGAUGACUUGAUCGUGGUGUAUCCGGGCAAGGAGCAGCCAGGUGCUCUUGGCUUAGCAGGUUUGUUGCGUGAGCUGCGGGAAUCGGAAACCCGCCGUGUGCCUGCGCUGAGCGCAGCUGCCAGGGACCCAGGGAAGCACCUUGUGUUACCAGGCUGGGCUGACAGGUGGGUUACUGCCCCUAUUUGACAAAUGAACUUGAGAUUCAGAGUGGUCAGGUUACUUGCCUGAGGGCACACAGCCCAAGUCCCUCCUUAACACGGGCAGUAAUAAACUCAAGGCUGUCAGGCGCA